AGAGUUUGAUCCUGGCUCAGGAUGAACGCUGGCGGCGUGCCUAAUACAUGCAAGUCGAGCGAACGGACGAGAAGCUUGCUUCUCUGAUGUUAGCGGCGGACGGGUGAGUAACACGUGGAUAACCUACCUAUAAGACUGGGAUAACUUCGGGAAACCGGAGCUAAUACCGGAUAAUAUUUUGAACCGCAUGGUUCAAAAGUGAAAGACGGUCUUGCUGUCACUUAUAGAUGGAUCCGCGCUGCAUUAGCUAGUUGGUAAGGUAACGGCUUACCAAGGCAACGAUGCAUAGCCGACCUGAGAGGGUGAUCGGCCACACUGGAACUGAGACACGGUCCAGACUCCUACGGGAGGCAGCAGUAGGGAAUCUUCCGCAAUGGGCGAAAGCCUGACGGAGCAACGCCGCGUGAGUGAUGAAGGUCUUCGGAUCGUAAAACUCUGUUAUUAGGGAAGAACAUAUGUGUAAGUAACUGUGCACAUCUUGACGGUACCUAAUCAGAAAGCCACGGCUAACUACGUGCCUGCAGCCGCGGUAAUACGUAGGUGGCAAGCGUUAUCCGGAAUUAUUGGGCGUAAAGCGCGCGUAGGCGGUUUUUUAAGUCUGAUGUGAAAGCCCACGGCUCAACCGUGGAGGGUCAUUGGAAACUGGAAAACUUGAGUGCAGAAGAGGAAAGUGGAAUUCCAUGUGUAGCGGUGAAAUGCGCAGAGAUAUGGAGGAACACCAGUGGCGAAGGCGACUUUCUGGUCUGUAACUGACGCUGAUGUGCGAAAGCGUGGGGAUCAAACAGGAUUAGAUACCCUGGUAGUCCACGCCGUAAACGAUGAGUGCUAAGUGUUAGGGGGUUUCCGCCCCUUAGUGCUGCAGCUAACGCAUUAAGCACUCCGCCUGGGGAGUACGACCGCAAGGUUGAAACUCAAAGGAAUUGACGGGGACCCGCACAAGCGGUGGAGCAUGUGGUUUAAUUCGAAGCAACGCGAAGAACCUUACCAAAUCUUGACAUCCUUUGACAACUCUAGAGAUAGAGCCUUCCCCUUCGGGGGACAAAGUGACAGGUGGUGCAUGGUUGUCGUCAGCUCGUGUCGUGAGAUGUUGGGUUAAGUCCCGCAACGAGCGCAACCCUUAAGCUUAGUUGCCAUCAUUAAGUUGGGCACUCUAAGUUGACUGCCGGUGACAAACCGGAGGAAGGUGGGGAUGACGUCAAAUCAUCAUGCCCCUUAUGAUUUGGGCUACACACGUGCUACAAUGGACAAUACAAAGGGCAGCGAAACCGCGAGGUCAAGCAAAUCCCAUAAAGUUGUUCUCAGUUCGGAUUGUAGUCUGCAACUCGACUACAUGAAGCUGGAAUCGCUAGUAAUCGUAGAUCAGCAUGCUACGGUGAAUACGUUCCCGGGUCUUGUACACACCGCCCGUCACACCACGAGAGUUUGUAACACCCGAAGCCGGUGGAGUAACCUUUUAGGAGCUAGCCGUCGAAGGUGGGACAAAUGAUUGGGGUGAAGUCGUAACAAGGUAGCCGUAUCGGAAGGUGCGGCUGGAUCACCU
rnacentral:rRNA from 1 species